UACGUAGGUGGCAAGCGUUGUCCGGAUUUAUUGGGUUUAAAGGGUGCGUAGGUGGCCCUGUAAGUCAGUGGUGAAAUAUCUCAGCUUAACUGAGAGGGUGCCAUUGAUACUGCAGGGCUUGAGUACAGAUGAGGUAGGCGGAAUUGACGGUGUAGCGGUGAAAUGCAUAGAUAUCGUCAAGAACACCGAUAGCGAAGGUAGCUUACCAAGCUGUAACUGACACUGAGGCACGAAAGUGUGGGGAUCAAACAGG
rnacentral:rRNA from 1 species